CCGAAUUUCAGUCACCACACCGUUGGCCCCUGCCACUGCCUCGCCGUCGUUGACAUCACUCACCUCCCUGGGCCGUCGCUGUCACGUUCCAGCGCCGUUGCCCAUCGAGCCCUAUUGACCUGCCCGUCUAGGCCUUGCCACAAUCUUCAUCAUGUGGGUUGUGGCCUUGCGACCGCCAAGGAUGGCGUCACCGGCCUUGGGCAACACCAGAUUUGGGGUUACCGAAGGUCGGCGACUCCGGAUAUGGGCUUUGUGAUGUCGGAAAUGGCCUCCUGAGCACAAAUCCGACUCAUCACAGUGAGUCAAAGGGAGAAAUGGUGGGGUCGGAUGGCUCA
rnacentral:lncRNA from 1 species